rnacentral:tRNA from 1 species
GGGUCGUUAGCUCAGUUGGUAGAGCAGCGGACUUUUAAUCCGUUGGUCGCAGGUUCGAAUCCCGCACGACCUA